GCAAAUUAACCCGGCUUCCUCAGUCCUCUGCUUCUUCACUCUCCAUCUCUGAUACGAAUCCCUCCGCACAGAAGCCGUUUUGCCGUGCAAAUGCGCGACAUGGAUUCUUCUCUUCCUUCUGAUCUCUCUCGUCCUCAUCAACUUAUCGACCUCCGCAUCGCCGUCCGAUCCUCGUUGGGCAGCUAAGAAGCGACGCCUCAGAGAUAAAGUCCGUAGGGUGUUUUGCACUUUCGUUUGUAUGAUGUUCAAACUGGUUUCUUGGUAAAAGUUUCACUGACACUUUUUGCGAUGCAUGCAUGAUACGAUUCUUUCUACUUCAUCAUCAUCAGUCUCAAGAUACAGUUACGUGUACUUGUAUCUUGCAUAAUCUUUUCAAGAGUUCAUCUUUCAAGUUUCAAAACUAUAUGAAAUUGUUUGGUGGUUUUCUUUAUAAGAAGGAUAUAAGACUCCGCAUCAAUGCUAAAUUCUGUGGACAGUGUGGAUGGAGUGAUGGAGAAUGAGACUACUGAAACGAGCACUUCAGGGUGCGGUUCUCUAAUUCUGGGAAUGGGAGCAUUGUCCCGAUUGACUGGAGACCCCAAAUAUGAAUCGGCAGCUUUAUGUGCUCUUCGUGAAUUAUGGGGCAUGUGGAGUUCGUUGAAUUUACUCGGUACAACGCUAGAUGUAUCAACUGGUGAAUGGAUUGUGUAUUCAUCUGGAAUUGGAGC